rnacentral:rRNA from 1 species
UCGGAUUGUAGUCUGCAACCCGACUACAUGAAGCUGGAAUCGCUAGUAAUCGCAGGUCAGCAUACUGCGGUGAAUACGUUCCCGGGUCUUGUACACACCGCCCGUCACACCAUGGGAGCCGGAAAUGCCCGAAGCCAGUGACCCAACCUUAGGGAGGGAGCUGUCGAAGGUGGAGCCGGUAACUGGGGUGAAGUCGUAACAAGGUACC